UUCCCAUGACUUCCUCCUGUUACAGACUUUUACAGAUAUAAAUUAGCUUCAUUCCCCCACUCCAUGUAAAGGCUGCCCGGCUAGUGGACUUCCAAAUCUACAUACUGCCAACAUCUUAUAUGGCUGACUGCCAGAAGGGAAAGGAUGGACAUGGCUAAGGGAUAUAGAGCUUCCCUCUUAGCAUCAACAGUAGUGUGGACCACUAUGCCAUGGCAGAACCAUUCUCUGCUGAGGAUGAAGUCCUUCUAAAAAUACCUAUGCUAACUUGAUAACUAUCGUUGUCCUUUUUUACUUGACAUAUAUUUGACUAUCUGUCAGUGAUUAGAGGUUGUAUUAAAGAAAUAAACAACAGGAUUAUAGGAUCCUCA